GACGAACGCUGGCGGCGUGCUUAACACAUGCAAGUCGAACGGAAAGGCCCUGCUUUUGUGGGGUGCUCGAGUGGCGAUCGGGUGAGUAACACGUGAGUAACCUGCCCUUGACUUUGGGAUAACUUCAGGACACUUGGGCUAAUACCGGAUAGGUGCUCCUGCUGCAUGUUGGGGGUUGUAAAGUUUCGGCGGUUGGGGAUUGACUCGCGGCUUAUCAGCUUGUUGGUGGGGUAGUGGCUUACCAAGGCUUUGACGGGUAGCCGGCCUGAGAGGGUGACCGGCCACAUUGGGACUGAGAUACGGCCCAGACUCCUACGGGAGGCAGCAGUGGGGAAUAUUGCACAAUGGGCGGAAGCCUGAUGCAGCAACGCCGCGUGCGGGAUGACGGCCUUCGGGUUGUAAACCGCUUUCGCCUGUGACGAAGCGUGAGUGACGGUAAUGGGUAAAGAAGCACCGGCUAACUACGUG
rnacentral:rRNA from 1 species